UACCAGCACCCCGAGUGGUCGGGACGAUUAUUGGGCCUAAAGCAUCCGUAGCCGGUUCUACAAGUCUUCCGUUAAAUCCAACUGCUUAACAGUUGGGCUGCGGAGGAUACUAUAGAGCUAGGAGGCGGGAGAGGCAAGCGGUACUUAGUGGGUAGGGGUAAAAUCCGUUGAUCCACUGAAGACCACCAGUGGCGAAGGCGGCUUGCCAGAACGCGCUCGACGGUGAGGGAUGCAAGCUGGGGGAGCACACCGGCGGCGAAAACCUCGUAGUCC
rnacentral:rRNA from 1 species